AAGGAGCUGCGGCCACCGUUCGCCCUACCUCUGCGCCUCGGGGCGGGCGCGCCGGUAAAAAUGGCGAAAUGGGGGUAGGCGGCGCUGGACCUGAAGAGAUGGGGCGCGCAGGUGGGGCGGUUGUCAGAGCCCCCUGACGUGGGCGCCGGGCUUUUAUCGGCGAUUUGAUCUGGCGACCUCGGGCCGGCGCCUAAGAGGUCAGACUGCGGAGCCUGCGGGUCGCCAACGGCCCCGCCGAGAGCCGGAGGCAAUGGAUGAACAGAGCGUGGAGAGCAUUGCUGAGGUUUUCCGAUGUUUCAUUUGUAUGGAGAAAUUGCGGGAUGCACGCCUGUGUCCUCAUUGCUCCAAGCUGUGUUGUUUCAGCUGUAUUAGGCGCUGGCUGACAGAGCAGAGAGCUCAAUGUCCUCAUUGCCGUGCUCCACUCCAGCUACGAGAACUAGUAAAUUGUCGUUGGGCAGAAGAAGUAACACAACAGCUUGAUACUCUUCAACUCUGCAGUCUCACCAAACAUGAAGAAAAUGAAAAGGACAAGUAUAUCCUCAAUUUCUUUGUUCAAUGUUGAAUGGAUUUUGCCUUUGUAUUGUUUAAUGACACUAUAUUGGUAGUUGCCUUUUGGUUAUUUAUGAAUAAGUAGUGUUAUAUUUCUUGUUUUUAAUUCUGUCAGUCAUGCGCUGUUACUGUUAAGUAACAUAUUCUUACUGUGUUUAUUUAACAACAGUUAUUUCAUGCCAUGUAUACACACAGAUACCUCUCGCCCUCCCCUCCCCCCACACAGAAAGUACUUUGCUAGAUGAUAGGCAUACAAAGGUAAAUGAGACAUGAUUUCUGUUAACUGUUUAAUGGG
rnacentral:sRNA from 1 species